rnacentral:rRNA from 1 species
CAGUUCGGAUUGAAGGCUGAAAUUCGCCUUCAUGAAGCUGGAAUUGCUAGUAAUGGCAGGUCAGCAUACUGCCGUGAAUACGUUCCCGGGCCUUGUACACACCGCCCGUCACACCAUGAGAGUUGGAAAUACCCGAAGCCUGUGAGCUAACUUUUAGAGGCAGCAGUCGAAGGUAGAGCCAAUGAUUGGGGUGAAGUCGUAACAAGGUAAC